rnacentral:tRNA from 1 species
GACAGGAUGGCCGAGUGGUCUAAGGCGCCGCGUUCAGGCCGCGGUCUGUAAGGGCGUGGGUUCGAAUCCCACUUCUGUCA